rnacentral:tRNA from 1 species
UGCGGGGUGGUGUAAAGGGAACAUGCCGGGCUCAUAACCCGGGCGAUACGGGUUCAAGUCCCGUCCCCGCCA